CCGCGCAGCAAAACUCACCGGAGACCACGCCGCUGUCACCGCAGGCAAACCAAAGCCAGCCGGAGAACAACUUCCAGCAAACCCGCAGAUCCUGACACCAACCUGGGAGUGCCUCCUUCGUCACAACCAGACUCCCCUGGGCUUUUGGAGACCAGCCGUCUCUUCCAAUCGCUCGCUAGAAACUCGCCUGCUCUAGGGAAGAAGACCGUGAGAGUGCGUGCUGACCCGCUGCAGGGAAAGCCAGCACAGCUGAGGUCCUGCUGUUUACACGGAUGUGUACCGCGCACUGUGGGAGACUGCAUCCUGUUUUACUCUGAUUGCUGGUGCCCAUGUCUGACUGAAUAUUGCCAAGGAAUAGCUACUACUUAAAAUUGCGGGAAAGAUGAAAUGAGGAGAAACUGCGUCCCCUGAGAUCCACGCCAUGUUGGAACUUAGGGCACUGAAAAACCAAGCAACCAGCUCACCAAGGCUGUGGCUCCAGGCUGCAGCCGCCCCAGGGUGAGAACCAGCAGCAUCUCCUGAGAUCCCUCAUGUUGGAACUUGGGGGCUGGGAAGCCGAGCAACCAGCUUGCCUCCCUGGUAACCUGUUGUGAAGUUCGGUACCAAUUUCACUACACUGUCUAAAUUGGCUUUGUUCUGUUGUAUUUUACUACCUCCAAAAUAAUAAAAAUUUUUAAGAAGUUCCCG